GCAGGAAAGCAGUUAACAACAUGAGAUAUGGGAUAGCUGGAGAAUGUUCAGUCAGGGGAGAGCUGAUGGAGGCAGCUCCUGGUGGGCAGGCUGGGCUGUGAACAGCGAAAGCAGGAGCAAGGAGCCUGAUUCUACAGAAUAUUGAAGGACAUUGACUCUCCGGAAUUUGUUCUCAACAGCUUAUGCAAGCUUCUUCCUGUUGAGAGUAAUCCAGAAAAGCUGCAGAUCAUUUUGGAGGACGAUGACAUUCACAAACUGAUUCUACCUACAGGCAUCCCUGAUUAAAGAAGAGUUCAGAAGGAUAACAACAAUUCAUCUGGAGUGAAGCUUUUUGUCAAAACUGGACACUUGCACUUCCAAACUUCUGGAGAUAUUUUGUGCAAAGAGCAGGGUUUCAGGCAUGAAAAUCAGACCCCUGCUG